UACGAAGGGGGCUAGCGUUGCUCGGAAUCACUGGGCGUAAAGGGUGCGUAGGCGGGUCUUUAAGUCAGGGGUGAAAUCCUGGAGCUCAACUCCAGAACUGCCUUUGAUACUGAAGAUCUUGAGUCCGGGAGAGGUGAGUGGAACUGCGAGUGUAGAGGUGAAAUUCGUAGAUAUUCGCAAGAACACCAGUGGCGAAGGCGGCUCACUGGCCCGGUACUGACGCUGAGGCACGAAAGCGUGGGGAGCAAAAGGG
rnacentral:rRNA from 1 species